rnacentral:rRNA from 1 species
GACGAACGCUGGCGGCGUGCUUAACACAUGCAAGUCGAACGGAAAGGCCUGCUUUCCCUUGGGGAUUGCGGGUGCUCGAGUGGCGAACGGGUGAGUAACACGUGAGUGAUCUGCCCCCAACUUUGGUAUAAGCCGGGGAAACUGGGGCUAAUUCCCUAUAGGACUGCAGGGUGGGGCCGGUGGUUGAAGACGAUUGUCUAGGGGUUGGGGAUGAGCUCGCGGCCUAUCAGGUUGUGGGUGGGGUAAUGGUCGACCAAGGCUGCGACGGGUAGCCGGCCUGGGAGAGUGGACGGGCACAUUGGGACUGAGAUACUGCCAAGAAUACUACGGGCGGCAGCAGUGGGGAAUAAUGAGCAAUGGGCAGAAGACUGAUGGCGCGAGGCCGCGUGGGGGAUGACGGGCUUCGGGUUGUAACCUUCUUUUGAUCGAGAGGAAGCCACCUGGUUGGAAGGGUAGUGACGGUAGUGGUAGAAGAAGCACCGGCUAACUACGUG